rnacentral:rRNA from 1 species
AAAACGACUCUCGGCAACGGAUAUCUYGGCUCAUGUAUCGAUGAAGAACGUAACAAAAUGCGAUACUUGGUGUGAAUUGCAGAAUCCCGUGAACCAUCGAAUUUUUGAACGCAAGUUGCGCCCGAAGCCUUUUGGCUAAGGGCACGCCUGCUUGGGCGUCACAU